GGCCCACCAAGCUCUCGG
rnacentral:misc_RNA from 1 species